rfam:Canis lupus familiaris chromosome 21, whole genome shotgun sequence.
CGGGGGAGGCCGGAUCCUGGGCUGUGUCCCGGAGCCCUGUGCUCCGGAGCCUGCGCUGUUGGAUUCGCGCUCCCGGGCCGCAGCCCCCU